AGAAAAGUAAGCUAAAUAUAAGCUAAUGGGUUCAUACCCCAUCUAUAGGAUUAUUCCUCUUCUCUA
rnacentral:tRNA from 1 species